rnacentral:rRNA from 1 species
UAUUGGACAAUGGGGGAAACCCUGAUCCAGCAAUGCCGCGUGUGUGAUGAAGGCCUUCGGGUUGUAAAGCACUUUUGUCAGGGACGAUGAUGACGGUACCUGACGAAUAAGCUCCGGCUAACUUCGUGCCAGCAGCCGCGGUAAUACAGAGGGUGCAAGCGUUAAUCGGAAUUACUGGGCGUAAAGCGCACGUAGGUGGUUUGGUAAGUUGGAUGUGAAAUCCCCGGGCUCAACCUGGGAACUGCAUUCAAUACUGCCUACUAGAGAUGGUAGAGGGAAGCGGAAUUCCACAUGAGCGGUAAAUGCGAAAAAUGUGAGAACAUCAAUGGCAAGGCAGCUUCCUGGCAAUCUGCUCUGAGUGAGAUA